UUUGUGAAAAUUAAAAAUAUUAUGGUAUAAAAUUUUAAAGUAAAUUAAAUAAAAAGAUUUGAAAAACAUGGCCUGCUGCUAUCCAGAGGAUUGUGGAGAGUAUGCUGUGACGCCGAUGCUGAUAGCGCCUUGUUUGCCGACGAAGUGUUGCGAGGACCCGCCAGUGUGUUAUCCUUGCUUGCCGCGAUGUCCUAAAGGGCAGAUGGUGUAUUGUUGCGAGAAGCGGCCUCCACCCAGACAGUCUCAGAGCUGUGAGAGCGACGAAGGUUGUUGUGAUCCGCCACCAGCGCCGCGGCAGAAAUGCUCCCGACCACCACCCGCCCCUCGCCAGUCCUCAUCUUGUGCAGCGCCUCCCAACUGCUGCCCGACCUGCUGCAGGCCAAUGAAAACAAAAUACGUCAUCCCUUGCUAUCGAUAUGAAGAUGGACGUAUUGAACAGUACGUUCCGACACGUCACGGUAGGCUUCCCAUGACAGCGUACCAACGGAACGGAAUUCAGGAUCAAAUUCAUGGGUAUAGAGGGGCGAUCCGAUACUUAUGUGCAGGAGAGGGCCCGAGAGGCUGUUGUGUUUACACCGCAGUCGAACCAAUCAAGAGACUAUUUCCUAAAGUCACACAAGAAGUCCUGCCUGUUAAAAGGAAAAAGGAUAAGAAGUGAAAAUAGAAUCCCAAAAAAUCUAUUUGUUUACGUUGUCGCGUGAUUAGUCUUGAUAUAAGUAAGGCGACAAUUUCAAUGCCCGCCAGGUAAAUCCACUGCCAUCUUCUGCACUUAAGCGAAAUGGACUUCAAGACCAAAAGUUUAUAGAGAGCGGUGGUAUUUCAUACAUUCGCAAGUCCUGGCGCGAAGCGAUAUGGAGCUACUGUCCUAUAACAAUACCAGUCAAACCAAUGAAGAAACUUCCCGUCUUAGUUACUAAGAAGUGAUGUCUGCCUGCUCUCGUGGUGAAAACAUUGCCAGUGACUGCUUUCAAACGCAAUGGGAUGCAGGACCAGGAACACUCGAAGCUAUUGGGCACUACGAAUUUCCUCGUCAGACACCCGCGCGAUGUGUCCAUUGAGUGCGACAUUUGUACCAACCCAGUCAAAGUAGCGGAUCCCGCAAAAGUGCCCCCAUGCCAAGCUAAGCCUGUGCUAGGCUGCGGCUUACUGAAAAAGAAACCAAUAGAAGUGUCGCUAGAAGACAUAUUAGACGAUUGAAACAUUUUCUCGCGUGCACUGGGCUAGACCUAAGGAAAUGAGUUGAAACGAAUGUUUUGACAUGUGAGUCAUUGCGCCUCGAGGAAUGAAGGCGCCGAAAUAAACGGGUUUGCCCACGUAAGCGGAUUUUCAGCAGUACAAUGUGCGAAAGGGUCAAACUAAUGUUUGGAUUUGUCAAGAUGGAAAUUUCGUACUAACCAGCCGACGUUGCUGAUGCGGCGCGCCUGCGAGGUCGCGGUCGGAGCGCGCCAGCGCCGCAAGCCCUUCGUGCUGU